CCUACGGGAGGCAGCAGUGAGGAAUAUUGGUCAAUGGGCGAGAGCCUGAACCAGCCAAGUCGCGUGAGGGAGUACUGCCCUAUGGGUUGUAAACCUCUUUUGUCGGGGAGCAAAAGCCGGACGUGUCCGGCUGUGAGAGUACCCGAAGAAAAAGCAUCGGCUAACCCCGUGCCAGCAGCCGCGGUAAUACGGAGGAUGCGAGGGUUAUCCGGAUGUAUUGGGUUUAAAGGGUGCGCAGGCGGAUUUUUAAGUCAGCGGUAAAAUCGUGGGGCUCAACCCCAUCCAGCCGUUGAAAGUGGGGAUCUAGAGUGGGCGAGAGGUAUGCGGAAUGCGUGGUGUAGCGGUGAAAUGCAUAGAUAUCACGCAGAACCCCGAUUGCGAAGGCAGCAUACCGGUGCACAACUGACGCUCAGGCACGAAAGCGUGGGUAUCGAACAGGAUUAGAUACCCUAGUAGUC
rnacentral:rRNA from 1 species